GUGCUCACUUUAGUAUCACAGAUAUUAAAAUUGAAAUGAUACAGAGAUUAGUACGGCCUUUGCACAGGAUGACAUGAAAAUUCAUGAAUUGUUCCAUAUUAUU
ensembl:snRNA U6 U6 spliceosomal RNA